rnacentral:lncRNA from 1 species
GCUGAUGUAAGUCCCUCGAGUGGCAUUCGGGUUCCAGUGUAGGUGUUUUCUGGUUGGAGUCCGACAUAAGUCCAGCGAUUGGCAGUUGGUUUCCUGUGUGUGUUUUGGUUCGGAUGCUGAUGUAAGUCCAGUGAUUGGCAUUCAGGCUCCACGUUUGCCUUUGCCUGUGUUUGUUUCUGUGCGUGUCAGCCGAGCUACGAAUGCUCUGAUUCUCCUUCGUCCAAGGAGAUACGUAUGCAUAGGAUGCGAUAUCCUA